CUGGUGUGAUGGGUUCUUACCUUCUGAAUAACCAGCAUGCCAUUCAUUUGGUGCGUUGGGGAAGCAGGACUAUUACCUUGAAAAAAUUAGAGUGCUCAAAGCAGGCUAGUGCCUGAAUACAUUAGCAUGGAAUAAUAAAAUAGGACGGCAUGGUUCUAUUUUGUUGGUUUCUAGGAUCACCGUAAUGAUUAAUAGGGAUAGUUGGGA
rnacentral:rRNA from 1 species